UACGUAGGCAGCGAGCGUUGUUCGGAGUUACUGGGCGUAAAGAGUGCGUAGGCGGCGUUCCAAGUUUGGUGUGAAAUCUCCCGGCUUAACUGGGAGGGUGCGCCGAAAACUGGGAUGCUAGAGUGCGGGAGAGGUAAGCGGAAUUACCUGGUGUAGCGGUGAAAUGCGUAGAUAUCAGGAGGAACACCGGCGGUGUAGACGGCUUACUGGACCGUGACUGACGCUGAGGCACGAAAGCGUGGGUAGCAAACAGG
rnacentral:rRNA from 1 species